rnacentral:tRNA from 1 species
GCCUGGGUGGCUCAGUCGGUUGAGCGUCCGACUUUAGCUCAGGUCAUGAUCUCACAGUUUGUGGGUUCAAGCCCCGCAUCAGGCU